UCCUGGCUCAGAUUGAACGCUGGCGGCAUGCCUUACACAUGCAAGUCGAACGGCAGCACGGGGGCAACCCUGGUGGCGAGUGGCGAACGGGUGAGUAAUACAUCGGAACGUGUCCUGUAGUGGGGGAUAGCCCGGCGAAAGCCGGAUUAAUACCGCAUACGCUCUACGGAGGAAAGGGGGGGAUCUUAGGACCUCUCGCUACAGGGGCGGCCGAUGGCAGAUUAGCUAGUUGGUGGGGUAAAGGCCUACCAAGGCGACGAUCUGUAGCUGGUCUGAGAGGACGACCAGCCACACUGGGACUGAGACACGGCCCAGACUCCUACGGGAGGCAGCAGUGGGGAAUUUUGGACAAUGGGGGCAACCCUGAUCCAGCAAUGCCGCGUGUGUGAAGAAGGCCUUCGGGUUGUAAAGCACUUUUGUCCGGAAAGAAAACCGCCGCCCUAAUAUGGUGGUGGGAUGACGGUACCGGAAGAAUAGCACCG
rnacentral:rRNA from 1 species